AACAAACAAGUGCGUGGUACUAGGGAGCCCUCUGGGGCUAUCCACGAUACCCAUCUGUCGUGCGAGGGCUGAUGAUUGAGAGAGCGAAAAAAAGGCUGGGCGAGCGAGGGAAAUAAAGGUUAGCGAGGGAAAUAAAUAAAGAUCAAGAAAGGCACGCUUCCUCUCCCCGCACGCAACCUCCCCCAUCUCUCACGUCCCAGCGGCGGUGGCUCCCACCUCACACCCUCAUCUUCUUCCUCACCCGAUCCGGCUGGUUCAUCUAAGGCGUCAACCCGUGGUGGAAGCAGGCGGAAGCACCUCAACCGCGGAGGCUCGACGGCCAGAGCGACGGCGGCCGGCGCGGCCCUGGAGGCUUGGGCGUUGUCGCCAUGUCAGCCCUCCCAAAGGCUGUGAUGCGCCGCCCCUCGCCUCUCACCUCCAGUAGAUCAAAGGCCAUCACGGCGGCAGUCUGGACUAAGAUACGCGAUUCCCAUUUUCUUGUUGUAUUUUUCCCUUUUCUCUAUUGUCAUCGAUUGAUGGACCUAUCCCCUGCUCCUCCCCUUGCGCUUGAGAAGAAGGAGCGGAGAUGCCGUCUGCCGACGCGGCAGCGGAAUGAGGAGGUGCAAGAGAGCAGCGAGGAGGAGGAGGGAGGGGCGAAGCAGAGGAAGGAGGAUCAGGCCCAGCCGCGCAGAAGAGCACUGCGGGGAAGGUGGGCGAGGGGGAUCGGAGCUCGCGGUGCACAGGGGAUUUAGGCACGCAGGGCCAAGCAAGGCGGCCAACGAGCAGCAUCCCUACAGUGGCGAGAUCCGCGAGAGGAGGCCUUCAGUUGCGAGCGACCAGGGGAGAUGCCGCCAGUCUGCGUCUCGUCGAGGGGCUGGACACUGGCGGGGGAUCAACAGGGGUAGUGCUGGGGCAGACGGAGCGAUGCCAGCCUGACCGAGCUAGACGGCACGAGGCAACAGCGAUGGCGGAUCUUCCUGCUGCCCUACAUCGUCCCUUCAAAUCCCAGACAGUGGUGAGAAGGAUGGUGCGUGCUUGAAGGAAGGAGCCGCAGAGAUCAGCAUGUGUGAGUCGUCUCACAGAUCUCGUGUACUACAUACUUAUACUGCUGGUCACCCAGCAGUGUUUGCGUUGCACCAUUGUCUAUUGUCCUCAUUCUAUAGGGCCCAAAGUAUCAGGAUAUUCUAAACAUCCGAGUGAGUGAUUGGUACUAAUGGGCGUGGUCAAGCUCUAGAAGUUGAUGCUGAAAAAAGUUGUUAUGCAGAUUUUGAAAACUUGUGUCUCGCUUGAUAUGCUUGGACGCAUUUUUUAGUGGUUCUAGAAAACCUAUUGACAAUUUUGCGUGAGGCAUAAUUGGACAUCUCUGUUCCAGUAAUCCAAGUGAGAGAACCUACCCUUAGGAGAUGAUGGAAAGAAGGAUAUCUACUAUUGAUGUCGUGAACUCCAUUGAUCGAGGGCAAAUGAUUCCUUUCUUUUCCUACUGGGCUUCCCGGUAAUGAAAUUGUUGCUCAGAUUUGUUGUCUUCUGGUCUUCCCAAGAGUUUGGAGAAAGGCAAGCACAAAGAGCCUCCAAAGCUCACCAAGUUUGAAGAGAGGCGAAGGUGAAGAUGCUCACAAGGGGCGCGGGAGCGUGCGGCGAAGACAAACAAGGGUGCCGAUUCAUCCCAGUGACGCUGAUAUCAAACCCAUAAGAUGCCACCGCACAGACAAAAAUGGCAUGCUGCAAGCGGCACAUAUAAUGUGUUCGCCAAUGUUCAAGAAAGCAUGUGGAAAGCCGAAAGAUGACACCGACCAUUGCAGAGUAGAGCCAUGGUUGUUUCUGGUGGUGUAUUGUUACAUAGCCACGCUGUGGCUUGACAACAUCCACAAACUACACCCAUGGGUUCUCAUUCUUAAUUGUUAGUCCUUAUAUGUAAUAGGAAGUGGCGGUCUGACUCAUCUCACUAGAAUAGCCAUUUACUUCAAAAUUGCAAAUCAAUCUUUACACUGCAAUUUUAGGUGGUGCAACUUUGAAGUUCAAAUUUUUGAGGUCAGGCAUGUUCUCUAUCAAAUUUGACAUGCACCUGCUGGUUGUGUUUUGUGGAACUGAAAUAUAAAAUUGGAUUUUCAACCUUGGUUGAAUAUUUAA